rnacentral:misc_RNA from 1 species
GAGAAUAUCAGAUGCUGAGAAAUGCUUCUUUAAAAAUCAUCAGAGCCCUAGGAAUUGAAGGAGGAUGUAACGUACAGCUGGCUUUAGA